GGGUACAUCAGCCUCUGAAUCAGCACUGUAUCCCAGAGUUUCUUAAGAAUGUAACUGUAUGCUACGCAGAGUGAGCGUGCCUAUUGUUUAAAGAUUCAUAAGGCAGAAGCUGGCUGAUUCUGAGCUCCGGGUCACUUUGGGGCACAGAAUGAGACCCUGUCUACUGAGCCCUAGCACCAGGUUGGAAAAAGUAUUCUUAGACACUGUAUAUAUUGCAUCUGUUCAAGAAAAUUGCAAGAUACAAUGAACUUUUCAAGACUCAUUCAUUACCUUUCUACCAUUUUUAAUAUAUUCUCAUGGAUAUGAGAUCAUUGAAUACCAUUUUCUUCAUAGUUGUCCUAUAAACUUGUAUCAUCUUUACAAGUAUACUUUUUUUAACCUCAAUCAUAGUUUCCUAGAUCCAGAGCUUCUUGAAAUAAAAUGCAAAUCUUCUCUCCAACGUGUUCAAAAGAAGGGAUUGAAGAUAAAUAGAUGACUCUGAAGUCUCAGAAAGCCCUAACACAUGAGUUCUAACCCAUGAAUUCUUCACAGAACAGAUUUCUGAAUCCUCUUCUAGAAGUUACCAAUCAUAUUUGCUUGUAGAAGCCAUAGUUGAAUACACUUGUGAUCUAACAGCUUAUAUUAUCAAUGUGAGUCUUAUUGACAGGCCAAAGUAUACCUUGGUUAAUUAGUUUUAAAUUAAAAAAAAAAAAGUAGUUAUAACUGGGCAUGAUCAUACAGGUCUUUAAUCCCAGCACCCACAAGGCAGAGGCAGGAGGAUUUCUGAGUUCAAGGCCAGUCUUGUCUAGUCUAAGGACAGCCAGGGCUAUGUAGAGACACCCUGACUCAAAAACAAACAAAUGGGACUGGGGGAUGAUGGCUCAGUGGUUACAAGCACUAGCUGCUCUUCCAGAGGACCCAGGUUGGUCUGUGGCCAUACCACCGUAAUAGUAAAAGGCGACUCAGGUUCAGUUCCUGACCUUUGCACAGACUUAAAUGUAGCCAAAACAUCCCACGUAUAUAAGAAUGUAAGUGUUUUUAAGGACUUAUAGUGACUAGGGGAAAUUUUUGACUUUUCACAUGUGGGCACACAGCCCUAAAAAUUUACACUAGGGAUUUUAUCCUCAUCAGGUUUUUUCAUUUGAUUUUAAUGUUUCUGGAGAUCAUCUUUAAAAUCUGACAGACAUCACAGGAUACUUUCCAGCUAGCUAUCUGAAUACUUCAAUGAAUCUUAAAAUCUCUGCAUAAGAGCGUCAGUUUGUCUAGUGUUUUUAAAAUAUACAUAUCCUCAACGGGACUGUAAUGUCACUUUCCAAGCACAGUGAUUAUUUCAAGACAUGGGUGCUAUGCUGGGUGCCAGGCUCUGGCCAUAGUCUCAGCUUCUGUUGGUGCUGCCCGUUCUGCCCACAUCACUCUAUUCCUCAGGGAGGGUCCUUGCUCUGCAGUUAAGGACCUGAUCCAGGGCAAGGCUGCCUAGCCAAGGAGCCAGGAUUCUCACUGUGCUGCCAGGGGCUGAGAGGCCCUCACAGAGCACCUCAGAUGCAAGCUCUUCCUAGUGAGGGCGUACCAGCAAGUGUGUAAUAAAGUCACCUUUACAAGACAGGUCGUGUUUGUCUUCACUUUCUCACCAAAAUAGGCUUUUCCACAUCAAAUAUGUAAUGGAAAGGAUCAUUCGUUGUGAGAGGGUAAUUUUUUAAUUUGCACCAAGCUGUUUUCAUGUAAUUUUGUGUACACACACACACAGGGCUGUACAAUGGUUCAGUAAGGUUCCUAAAAGUUGUCUUCUGACCCCCUACGUUCUUUCUGUUUAAUGCCUAUCCCUGCAUUCAUACAAAUCACAUACAUAAAAUACUAAGAUAUGAAGUAAUGUACAUUUGAGAGAACAUAACAUACAAAUUGUGUUACCUUGAUGAGUUUAAUAAGAUUAUAACCUCGGUAGCAGUCUUCCAUGUUCUUCAUUUCUGGCUUUCCCAGGAUGCAACUCUCAGCACUUUCAAACAUAGUUUAUUGGUUGUAAUGAUAGUGAUUUUUGUCUGGUUUUCUUCAUGCCGUCUGAUGUGUGUGUAUGCUGUUAUGAGUGACGGCGUCCUUCUGUUUGCUCUUCAGUGUUCAUCUGUUCCCAGUCUUGAUUUGUGAAUUCUUUUGGUGACGGUUGGAUUGCUUUUCAGAUAUAAGUCAUAUGAGUACCUAAUUCAGCUGUCAGCCAACAGAAGCAUGUGUGUUAGCUAGCAUCUGCACACAUUUCUAUUGUACACUCUUGUAUGUAUUGGAUUGAGAAGAGUUAUAAAAUACACAGAUGCUCAUAUUAGUAGAUGAUGCCAAAUGUUUCUAGAACUCUAGGCCUGUUUAAACUCUUAUCCUAUGAAUAUAGUCAUUUUAUGUUUGACAAUUUGAUUUUGUUUUUUUUGUUUUGGGUUUUUUGCUUAAAUCUCUGUUAGUAAAAUUAACAACAGCAUCCAAAGUUGGUGGUGUGUCUACAAUCCCUGUAUUCGGGAAGCAAGUUUUUUGUUAUGCUAGCCAGAGGUACAUAACAAAUUAACUUCUAAAUAGAGGGACAAACAGACAGGCAGACAGAACCAACCAGGCAGACAGGUUGGAUCGUGUGCACUUAUAACCCCCAGAAUUCAGUAGAGAGACUGGAGAUUUCACUAUUAAUUCAAGGGCAGGUAGGACUACAUAAUAAAACUUGUCUUUAAAGAGGAAAAGGAAGCUGAUUGGUGGCCCACGCCUUUAACCCCAGCACCCGGGAGGCAGAGGCAGAUGGAUCUGAGUUUGAGGCCAGCCUGGUCUACAGAGUGGAUUCUACAAUGGCCACAGUUACAUAGAAAGACUGACUCACCCCCCCCCCCCCC
rnacentral:lncRNA from 1 species